UUCUACAUGUGCCUUUUUCCCAUUGGCUGUUGACAUUGCUGCUUGCCAGUUUGAUAGGUUUCCACAGUAAUCUUUAUGCUGCAUUAGAGACAUAGAUACAGAGGUACUGUACUGUGUUCUUGCAACGUUAGAGGUGCUUAGCUUGUAGCAUAAAAGAAAGAGAAAGCCACUGAUGGAAGAAAGGCAUUGGUCUUUGUUGUAAAACAUCACUAGUGAACGGCUGCUAGCAGCAAGCAGGGUCAGUGGAGGAGUUUCAGUUCAUGAUAUAGCACUCAAGAGCAUAUUUCAAAGAGAAGAAUUUCCAUUACAUCUGGUUGCCAUUCACUUCUUCGUUGCAGAUCCCUGCCUGUCUUGAGCACAAAGACCACGGAAGAGAGACUCUCACAUCCUUUAGCGAGAAGAAAGGAAUCAGCAGAGCAGAUUUAAACGGACUUGUGUCUGGUGGCCCUUUGCACACAAGCCUGCCUUUAAAGGAAGGGAGGAGAGAAACACAGUAGCAUUUAAUGAACUCUGUGAGAUGAGGCACCGCUAACGCCAGAUUCCAAAGAUUCAUCCACUAUUCCUUGUGCUUAAUGUAUAUGUUUCUACAAAGUCCGUUCAGAAGAGCCCAGAAGAGAAUCCAAAACGGCUG
rnacentral:lncRNA from 1 species